AGUGAACGCUGGCGGUAGGCCUAACACAUGCAAGUCGAACGGCAGCACAGUAAGAGCUUGCUCUUACGGGUGGCGAGUGGCGGACGGGAGAGGAAUACAUCGGACUCUACUUUUUCGUGGGGGAUAACGUAGGGAAACUUACGAUAAUAUCGCAUAUGAUCUACGGGUGAAAGCAUGGGAUAUUCGGAGCUUGCGCGAUUGAAUGAGCCGAUGUCGAAUUGGCUGGUUGGCGGGGUAAAGACCCACCUAGGCGACGAUCGGUAGCUCGUGUGAGAGACGGGUCAGCCACACGAGAACGGGAACACGGUCCAGGCGCCUGAGAUACGCAGCAGUGUGGAAUAGUGGACAAUGGGCGCAAGUCUUGUCCAGCCAUACCGCGUGUGUGAAGACAGCCUUCGGUUUGGAAAGCCCUUUUGUUGGUAGAGAAAAGCAGCAGGUUAUGACCCCGCUUUUCUGACGGUACCCAAAGAAUAAGCACCGGCUAACUUCGUG
rnacentral:rRNA from 1 species